CCGUCGAUCUUCGGUCUUCACCCGUAGCCGUCGAUCUUCGGUCUUCACCCGUAGCCGUCGAUCUUCGGUCUUCACCCGUAGCCGUCGAUCUUCGUCUUCACCCGUAGCUGUCGAUCUUCGGUCUUCACCCGUAGCCGUCGGUCUUCAGUCUUCACCCGUAGCCGUCGGUCUUCAGUCUUCACCCGUAGCCCUCUUUCUUCGGUCUUCACACGUAGCCCUCAGUCUUCGGUCUUCACACGUAGCCCUCGGUCUUCGGUCUUCUCACGUAGCCCUCGGUCUUCGGUCCUCACCCGUAGCCUUCUGUCUUCAGUCUUCACUCGUCGCCCUUGGUCUUCAAUCGCCGCCGUAGCCCUCGGUCUUCGGUCUUCACCCGUAGCCGUCGAUUUUCGGUCUUCACCCGUAGCCGUCGAUCUUCGGUCUUCACCCGUAGCCGUCGAUCUUCGUCUUCACCCGUAGCCGUCGAUCUUCAGUCGUCACCCGUCGCCCUCGGUCUUCGGUCUCCAUCCGUCGCCCUCGGUCUUCGGUCUUCAUCCGUCGCUCUCAGUCUUUGGUCUUCGUCUUCACCCGUAGCCGUCGAUCUUCAGUCUUCACCCGUCGCCCUCGGUCUUCGGUCUUCAGUCUUUACCUGUCGCCCUCGGUUUUCAGUCUUCACUCUUCUUCCGUCGCCCUCAGUCUUCAGUCUUUACCUGUCGCCCUCGGUUUUCAGUCUUCAAUCUUCUUCCGUCGCCCUCGGUCUUCACCCGUAGCCGUCGAUCUUCGUCUUCACCCAUAGCCGUCGAUCUUCAGUCGUCACCCGUCGCCCUCGGUCUUCGGUCGUCACCCGUAGCCGUCGAUCAUCGGUCUUCACUCGUAGCCCUCGGUCUUCGGUCUUCACUCGUAGCCCUCGGUCUUCGGUCUUCACUCGUAGCCCUCGGUCUUCGGUCUUCACUCGUAGCCCUCGGUCUUCGGUCUUCACUCGUAGCCCUCGGUCUUCAAUCGCCGCCGUAGCCCUCGGUCUUCGGUCCUCACUCGUAGCCCUCGGUCUUCGGUCUUCACUCGUAGCCCUCGGUCUUCGGUCUUCACUCGUAGCCCUCGGUCUUCGGUCUUCACUCGUAGCUCUCGGUCUUCGGUCUUCACCCGUAGCUGUCGAUCUUCGGUCUUCACCCGUAGCCCUCGGUCUUCGGUCUUCACCCGUAGCCGUCGAUCUUCGGUCUUCACCCGUAGCCGUCGAUCUUCGUCUUCAUCCGUAGCCGUCGAUCUUCAGUCGUCACCCGUAGCCGUCGGUCUUCAGUCUUUACCUGUCGCCCUCGGUUUUCAGUUUUCACUCUUCUUCCGUCGCCCUCGGUCUUCAUUCGUUGCCGUAGCCCUCGGUCGUCGGUCUUCAGUCUUCACCCGUAGCCCUCGGUCUUCGGUCUUCACACGCCGCCCUCGUUCUUCAGUCUUCGUUCUUCAACAGUAGUUUUCAGUCUUCACAGUUUAAGUUCACAGUUCCAUACAUGCUCUUCACACUCCAAUUGUAUUUUCUUCACUCUUCAUUUCCGAGUCUUCCGCUUACAAUCAUUUUCGUUUACAUUCGAAAUUUCCUCAAAUUUUCGGUUUCUAAUCUUUAGCGUUCAUUUUUAUUCAUGCAUUACCUUUUGUUGACUUCGCUUUUUAAUUUUUUAUUUAUAUAUAAAUUUUUGUUUGUCGAAAUUAUUAUAAAUAAAAAAAACGACCUUCUGUCCUUUGUCUACAUCUUCAUACAUUUUUUUUAAAUGUUCAUCAUUGACACUCUUUGGCCUAGACUUCACCUUCGAACCGCUACAAUUGUUAUUUUAUUCUCUCACAAAAUGCUUUUCUGCAUGUCAUAUUGCCUGUAAAAUUUUACAAUGUAGUAGUUCAGUUUUUGACUGUAGUUAUACUUUAAUCUUAUAUUUUUACACUACAUUGACAUCAUGUACCUUAUGAAGAUAAUUUGUAUGUGAUCCCUUUAUAGUAUACUCAAAUGUAUUUCCUCGUAAAUAAUAUUCUGCGUUGCGUUCAUUAUAAUAACUUCAGUUACAUUUUAAUACUGUCAUCUUUAGUCAUCACAUUAUCGUCGCAACAGAUUUUUUGUGCUGUGACCUACUCGUGUAUACAGAUUACUGGCGGUAUUGUUCAUCUUAGGCCAGAACAAUCUAGUUGACAAAUAUUCAAGAUUUUCCCCUAUUUUCAACAAUGUCAUUGUGUGAAGCAUAAAUUAAUUAAUCUA